GACGAACGCUGGCGGCGUGCCUAAUACAUGCAAGUCGAACGCAGUGGGGACGGGUGAGGAACAACUGGGUGACCUCCCAUCAGAGGGGAUAACACUUGGCAACAGGUGCUAAACCGAUACUGAUGGAUGGACCCGGGGGGGAUUAGCUAGUUGGUGAGGUAACGGCUCACCAAGGCCACGAUGCAUAGCCGGCCUGAGAGGGUGAUCGGCCACACUGGGACUGAGACACGGCCCAGACUCCUACGGGAGGCAGCAGUAGGGAAUCUUCGGCAAUGGACGAAAGUCUGACCGAGCAACGCCGCGUGAGUGAAGAAGGUUUUCGGAUCGUAAAGCUCUUUUGUUAGAGAAGCGUUAUCUAACCAGAAAGCCACGGCUAACUACGUGCCAGCAGCCGCGGUAAUUC
rnacentral:rRNA from 1 species